rnacentral:rRNA from 1 species
CUACGGGAGGCAGCAGUGGGGAAUCUUAGACAAUGGGCGCAAGCCUGAUCUAGCCAUGCCGCGUGAGUGACGAAGGCCUUAGGGUCGUAAAGCUCUUUCGCUGGGGAAGAUAAUGACGGUACCCAGUAAAGAAACCCCGGCUAACUCCGUGCCAGCAGCCGCGGUAAUACGGAGGGGGGUUAGCGUUGUUCGGAAUUACUGGGCGUAAAGCGCGCGUAGGCGGAUCAGAAAGUUGGGGGUGAAAUCCCGGGGCUCAACCCCGGAACUGCCUUCAAAACUCCUGGUCUUGAGUUCGAGAGAGGUGAGUGGAAUUCCGAGUGUAGAGGUGAAAUUCGUAGAUAUUCGGAGGAACACCAGUGGCGAAGGCGGCUCACUGGCUCGAUACUGACGCUGAGGUGCGAAAGCGUGGGGAGCAAACAGGAUUAGAUACCCGAGUAGUC